rnacentral:misc_RNA from 1 species
GAUGAAGAACUCAGCGAAAUGCGAUAAGUAGUGUGAAUUGCAGAAUUCAGUGAAUCAUCGAAUCUUUGAACGCACAUUGCGCCUUCUAGUAUUCUGGGAGGCAUGCCUGUUUGAGCGUCAUUAAACCUCUCUCAAGUAUGAUUACUUGGAUGUGAAGGAAGAGUACCUUAAACUUAAGGAGUGUUCUCCUUUGAAAUUGAUUAGCAGAUGGUAAUGUUAUUAAAUCCCUGAUGUUGUAAGAAAUAACAGUGGUUUUGUAGACUAUUAUCUAGCUUUAAAUUAUAAUUUUUAUUAUGGUUGACCUCAAAUCAGGUAAGGAUACCCGCUGAACUUAAGCAUAUCAAUAAGCGGAGGA